UCGUUCUGGUUCAUUUCCAGCACUGUUAUUUAUGUUGUUCCUCUUAAUUUUUUCCUGCUGUUUCAGCUUUACAAGGGGUAUCCAAUUACUUCCUCUGUGACUUUUUUUUUUUUUUUUUUUUUAAACUUUUGAGUGCCAGAAAUCUCACCUCAGAAGAGGUUUCUUUUUCUGGUAAAAAUCUCUUGAAUCGGCCCCUUUCUUUCUGUGAGGGCUGCUCCUGCCCAGAUCCAGGGCCUCUGCAUCUCAGGUCUGGGUUCUUACAGGUGUCAUCCCUAAAAGGAGCCUUCCUGCUUCCCAGGUGGCCCAUUCGCUAUAUUGUGCCAGCCAGAAUCUGGGGCUCAUCCCUGGCUCGCUCUUUCCCCUCACCCCACUCCAAUUAGUUACCACUAAGACCUCACUAUUCUACUUCCUUGAUAUCUGUCAGAUCCACCCUUUUCUCUCCACCCUCACCUCUGUCACACUGCUCAGCAGAACUACUGAUAUCCAAAUGGGGUUCCUGCAUUAUACACACCUUUCCAGCCGGCACGCACUGUCCCUAGAAUGUGCUUGCUUAUGGGCAGCUCACCUGUAUCAAAGCUUGUAAUAAAGGGCCCUACAAAUCCAGAAUAGAGUCUCAACUCUUCAGUGGGGCGUAUGAGGCCUUUUAGAGUGGCUCCUACUUGCCUCUCAAAGUCAUGUCCCUCCCACUCAUGCUCUUUUGGGUUCUCCAUAAAGCACGUGCAGCUCCUAGAACAGGCAACACUUUUCUUUCCCACCUCUGGCUCUUCCUUCUACUUGGAACACCUUUAUCUUUGAUCCUCACCUUCACUCCAUUCCUCGUUCAGGACUCAACUCACUGGACUUUUCUGGAACGGAGGAGUCACUCCACCUUCUAUGUCCCUCACAUGGUCUGUCUCCGUCCCAUUUCUGCCAUGCCACACUGCAAGUCCCAUGGGACAGAGGAGGGAUUUGCUCACUGCUGUAUCCACAUGGAAGCCUCUCAAAAUUCAUCAGAUGACUUGUUGAAUGAAUGGAUAUUUAAAUUCAUGCAUAUAAAUGUGAAUGAUUGAAUGAGUGGAGACGUUUGCAUAGCAUCAUGACGGAACCUUGUCUCUGCAUUCGUGUAAGCUGUGCUUGCCGCUCAGACCAAUAGGAAAUCUACUCUGAUGCCAGAGUCAACCCACAGCAGGAUAAUUCAGGAAAAUUGAAUUAAAAUUUUAAAAAUAAUGUUUUUUAGAUUUUCCUUCCUGGAAUGCAUUAGAAAGUGAGACCGGAGACCAACGCCGUCCUGGGAUGGCUUAGCAUCACCCUGGAGGUUGGGGGGAGAGCCUGGAAAUGACUAGAUUUCCCUCAAACUCUUUGAAUCUGGUCUCAGGUUUAUGCUGGGAGCCUUUCCCACUACCCGACCAAGAAGCGAUUUACUGAACAAUGACCUCAUUUUACAUUUCACAAUAUGUGUGUCAUAUAAGCAGUCUGUGCUGCUGAAUGGUUUCCUGUAAACAUUUACAAUGGUUUGAGACACUGGGGCCAGUCCCCAGUAGUUCUGGGAAAGACUUUUUAGAAAACAAGAAGGAACCUCUGCCCCAACUGUACAUUGGACACUGCAGAGUAAUUAUACAGUAGAGGUCAGGCCCAGGGUGAUAAUUAGCCUUGGGGGUGCCAGGGCGCCUCCUCGCUUUUGCUCUCCCAGCAAUUUUCUGGGAGGAGACAGAGCUGAGUUUCAGCAGGAUGGAGGCCGCUGGGUGUGAAACGCCCUCCGCGUCACACCGGGGGCCCAUGUGCCACAUGGACUAGACCUUGCUCCCAAAGCGUGGUCUCAGGAUCUACAGCAUCAGCAUCACCUGGGAGCUUACUGGAACUGUAGGAUCUCAGAAACCACUCGGAGCUACCAGUCAGAAUCUGCGUGUUAACAUCCUGGCGACUCAAAAGCACGUUACAUUUUAGAAAGUCAUGAACUAGAACCAAGGUGUCAGGACCUCACUUGAGAGGCAGCAGGGAAGCACCUGUGAGGCUGGCUCAGCCACUCAGCAAAACUCAGAACUAUAAACAUCCUGCCACUUCCAGGCACACAUGGCUCCCGGCAGCUGUUGUCCAAAUACAACAUGAGCCAGAUGCCAUUCCAGAUCCCUAAUCCAGCUUUCAUCAGACCUAAUUCCCUACCACCUCUCAUGAGAGGGACCAGAGAGACUUGGAUGACAUUAGGAUUGCAUGACUACACUUCUCAUGAAGUUUCUUCCACCUUAAGGCUUCGUUCAGCAUUUUGGCAUCCUGAUCCACAUCAAAACCUUGAUGACUUCUCGCUUUGGCCUGGAGAAAAUAAUUGAAAAGAGACAAGAAACCCCUAAAGCCAACAUUGUGCGUGAUUGUGUCUCAAAUGCAGCCAACUUUGAGUGGGAGGCUUGUUUUCAAAGGAAGAAGAUAACGAUUCUUCUGAAAACAACCCACACAAGAGAAGAGUCAUCUGGCUAAAUCUGAGCAGAUUUUCCUGUGGAUCUUAUUUUUCUGUCUAUGCACAAAGCUCACUGAGCACAAGGUCAUGUCCUCUAGGCUAAGCAAACUCUUUGAAUAUUGCUUGAUUAGCAAAUGAUAGUAAUCGCGAUUAUUACUGCUCCAAAUAGGUUAGUCACAAACACGAUGUCUUCAGUUGAAAAGAAUCAUUAAUGAUGGCAAAGGGAUUGGGGGGAAGCGCAAGACAAAAAAGUAAAUUUUCAAUUCUCAGAAUUGGCUAGGAAGCCCUCUGUAUCACAGCACCUUGGAAAAUGUAAUUUCCUGGCCAAUAUCCUACUGGCUUUGGAGUAUUGUUUGUCAAGCAUCUGUCUGUGCAUCCUGGUCUGUGGAUAUAUCCUUGGGACUUUGUAACUUUCCUAGUAGGCUUUUAAAAUAUGUAUUUACUGCUGGUAAUAACUUAAAAACUAAAUAUAAAGCAUACUGAGUCAUUAGGAUGACCAAGGCUAGCACAUGAUUUCAACGCCUGCAUUUGUGUUUCUAUUUAUGAAUGUGUAUAUGCCGAAUAGCCAUAUUUUAAUUGUUGCAAGCGAAUGAUAAAAGAACAGAGAACAGAGGGAGGUUUAAUACAAAAAUCACACAUUUUAGCCAA